rnacentral:tRNA from 1 species
AUUAUUUUGGCAGAUUAGUGCAUUAAAUUUAGAAUUUAAAUAAUAUAUAAAUAAAU